AAAACAUCUCAGCCUAUACAUAAAUUGUUCUACCUUCAAUUGGAUUUUUAUUAGUGGAAGGGAGAUUGGUUUUCUGCAUUUAUCGAUUCUUAGAUUAUAUAUACCGAGUUUAGGAAAAAAAAAAAAGAAGAAGUUGGAGAAUGAAAAAUAUUGAUCGGAUUAUGAAUUUUGAUUUAGAUAUUAGAAAUUUUCAAUACAUAGAAUUGUGAUUAAUUUUGCAAGUGUAGAAUGAACUUGUGUUGCACCUAAGUUUGAAACUUUAGCUUUAUAUAACAAAGAUAAGAGAGUUUAAAGUAUAGUGAUUGGAUUAGGAAUUUUAUUUGUAGAUUAGAAAAUUGCUAGACUUAGAAACGUAGUUAGGAUAGGAUAUGAAUAGAUAUUUUGCAGGUAAAUAUGAACUCAAAAUUAAUUAUGGAGGUUGAACUUAUGAGAAUGAAUUUUAUAAGUAGUAUAGAGAAUAGUUAUAGUUAAGUU
rnacentral:lncRNA from 1 species